GCGGGCAUAGUUUAGUGGUAAAACUACAGCCUUCCAAGCUGUUAAUGCGGGUUCGAUUCCCGCUGCCCGCU
rnacentral:tRNA from 3 species